UGGAUGGGUGUGUAGUGCGGUGCUGCUUGGUAGAAGAAGGGAGGAGGGUGAGCAGACGUCAUACAAGGAGGGACGGUGAAAGGAAGGCUCACAUGUGCCGCUGCCUUAUUUAACCUGGAUUUUCGCUGAACAGGACAGUGACAUGGGCCAUGACUACCACUGUGUGCUGGUGCAGGCUUGCUGCUUGGCGGGAAGUGCCUGUGAGGGCCAGCAGCUUGUCAGGAGGGCCAGGGAGACUCAGAAUAUUGGUUGGGACCACUCAAGAGACCUGCCCAAGUGUUAGUUUGUGAUGGAGGGGCAGCUGGUGAUGGGCAAGCUUGGGGAUCUACUGGAGGAGCAGGAAGAACCUGGAGGGAAUGGUGGAAGUGAAGUACUUGAAGAAGCUCCCUACACUCACCCCCAAGGAUUCCUUCCACCUUGACGACUGGUUUUCUGCUGUACAGACCACUGGCCGCUGACAGGGUGUGACAUCAAUAUCCAACACCUGUGGUAUGUGCAGGAGCUGGCAGAGGGGCAGGGUGACAGGGCCCACUACCUCACCAUCCCUGCCCACCAUGCCCCUGACAAGUUCGUCACCUGGGUACAUGCUCAGGCACCCCUGCAGUUAUUCUCUAGGCGAGGACGACAGUUGGAAUCCGUGUGAGAUAGUAGGCCGGCCCAACUUCCAGUAGUGAUGGAUGGGGAGGCAUGCCUGGUGUGUCCUGGGAGCAAUGUGUUUGAUGAGGCUCUGGGAUGACUGAAGUGUGUCUGGUGAAGGAUUAUGAAGGGUAUAUGCUUGUGUUCUUAAAGGCUUAACGUCUUUAUCAUGGCAUUCAGUAGGCCAUAGUGGAAGUUGUGGGGCUUGACAUUUGUAUCACAACAUUGAACAGGCCAUAUUGGAAGUUGUCAGUGUGUGAGUGAUGAAAAUGCAAAAUUGUAGGUGUCAGAUUUUGUUUCCUUGAAAAUUAACUCUAUGCUGUAAUUUUUUAUCUAUUUUUUUCUUUGUUUUACAUAUCUUAGAUGAGUUUAGUUUUUGUCAUUAGUAUAUCCAGCCUAUCUAUCUGUUCAUCUAACACCUUCAUCAGUGCACAGGUGGAGAGUGUGAGGGUGACAGUGAGAUGAUGCCUUGCAGGGUGCCUGUCUAUUGUGCCUCUCUCUGUACAUUGAUGCCUAAGAGAACAUUUUGGUCAUAUCCUAGUCAGAGAAUAGAUGAACUAUACCUGUGUGUGUGUGUGUGUGUGGCCAACACUAUGUAUGUAUAUAUUUAUUGACUUUACAAUGGUGUUUAUUGCUCCUGUUUAUUAUUAUUCAUUCUACAGUGGUGUUUAUUGCUGCUGUUUUCACUUUGUGUUCAGAUUUUCAUGUGUAAUUUCUCUCUCUAUUCCAUUUGAUGUAAUUACAUUAGUGUUCAGUGUAUAGUCCUGUUCUAAGUAGUUAUGUUGUAACUCCAAUCAUCCAGUGCCAUGCCUGAACUAAUUCCACUCUCAUUUUGUUGGAAUUCAUUCAUUCCUCUUCAUUAUUAUUUGUCUAUU